GGUCCAGUAGUGUAGUGGUUAUCACUCGGGAUUCUGAUGCCCUGAUGCCCUGGUAAAGAUAUCAUUUCCCGUAACCCAGGUUCGAGUCCUGGCUAGACCU